GUGUUUAUGGUGUAGUGGUUAUCACGUCUGCUUUACACGCAGAAGGUCCAGUUCGAGCCCUGGUGAGCACA